rnacentral:rRNA from 1 species
GUGUGGAUAGGGGAGAAAUUCCAAUCGAACCCGGAGAUAGCUGGUUCUCCUCGAAAUAGCUUUAGGGCUAGCCUCGUAUUAGUCUCAUGGAGGUAGAGCACUGAAUUCCCGCGGGGGCGUCAAAGCUUACCAAAGGAUAUCAAACUCCGAAUGCCAGUAAGAUGAUUCAUGGGAGUCAGACUACACGAGAUAAGUUGGGUAGUCAAAAGGGAAAGAGCCCAGACCUGCAGCUAAGGUCCCAAAAUGUGUGUUAAGUGGAAAAGGAUGUGGGAUUUCAAAGACAACCAGGAUGUUGGCUUAGAAGCAGCCAUACAUUAAAAGAGUGCGUAAUAGCUCACUGGUCGAGAGGUCCUGCGCCGAAAAUGUCCGGGGCUGAAACACACUACCGAAGCUCAGGAAUUAACGUAGUUAAUUGGUAGAGGAGCAUUCUUAAAGGGAAGAAGCAGUACCGGAAGGAGCUGUGGACUUUUAAGAAGAGAGAAUGCCGGAAUGAGUAGCGAGAGGAAGGUGAGAAUCCUUCCGGCCGAAUACCCAAGGUUUCCAGAGUAAAGCUGAUCUGCUCUGGGUAAGUCGGGGCCUAAGGUGAGGUCGAAAGACGUAGCCGAUGGACAACAGGUUGAAAUUCCUGUACUGCAGUAUAACAGAACUGUGGGGACGCAGAGGGAGAGCACUAGCGGGAAUGGAAUCCCGUGGCAAGCGAGGUAGGAGUCGCGUUGGCAAAUCCGCGUGACAAUCCGAAGACGUGAUGCAUACCGAACAAAAGUAGGGAAAUGUGUGAGCCAGCUGCCAAGAAAAGCCGCUAUUGUUUGUACUGUACCCGUACCGUAAACCGACACAGGUAGGUGAGGAGAGAAUCCUAAGGCCGACGGGAGAAGCAUUGUUAAGGAACUCGGCAAAAUGACUCCGUAACUUCGGGAGAAGGAGUGCCAGUGAGAGCUGGCCGCAGAGAAUUGGCCCAAGCAACUGUUUAGCAAAAACACAGGUCUAUGCAAAACCGUAAGGUGAAGUAUAUGGGCUGACGCCUGCCCGGUGCUGGAAGGUUAAGGGGAGAGGUUAGCGCAAGCGAAGCUUUGAACUUAAGCCCCAGUAAACGGCGGCCGUAACUAUAACGGUCCUAAGGUAGCGAAAUUCCUUGUCGGGUAAGUUCCGACCC